rnacentral:rRNA from 1 species
GACGUAGGUGGCGAACGUUAUCCGGAAUCAUUGGGCGUAAAGGGUGCGUAGAUGGCAUGAUAAGUUAUUAGUGGGAAAUCGAGGCUCAACCUCGUGGAAGCUAGUAAUACUGUUUUGCUUGAGUACAGAAGAGGUUACGGAACUCCAUGUGGAGCGGUAAAAUGCGUAGAUAUAUGGAAGAACACCAAUAACGGCGAAGGCAGUUAACUAUUCUGUUACUGACAUUGAGGCACGAAAGCGUGGGGAGCAAAACGG